rnacentral:tRNA from 1 species
GCCUUCGUGGUGUAGUGGUAAGCACGCUCGACGCGUAACCGAGAGGUUCCCGAUUCGAUUCCCGGCGAAGGCG